UAGAAAUAUAGUGGAGGCUAUCAGAAUGACAGGUGGUGCAUGGCUGUCGUCAGCUCGUGUCUUGAGAUGUUUGGUUAAGUCCCGUAACGAGCGCAACCCUACUCUUUAGUUAACCAGUUCUAAAGUGACUGAAUCGUAAGAUAUAGGAAGGUUGGGGCCAAGUCAAGUCAUCAUGCCCCUUAUGCCUCGGGCUGCAAACGUGCUACAAUGGUAGGUACAAUGUGUUGCAAUCUAGCAAUAGUGAGCAAAUCACCCAAAACCUAUCUCAGUCCGGAUAAAAGGCUGCAAUUCGCCUAUUUGA
rnacentral:rRNA from 1 species